rfam:Thiorhodococcus drewsii AZ1 ctg180, whole genome shotgun sequence.
GCGCCCGUAGCUCAGCUGGAUAGAGUACCUGGCUACGAACCAGGUGGUCGGGAGUUCGAAUCUCUCCGGGCGCG